GCAGCCGCGGUAAUACGUAGGUGGCGAGCGUUAUCCGGAAUUACUGGGUGUAAAGGGUGUGUAGGCGGGGAUGCAAGUCAGACGUGAAAAUCAAAGGCUCAACCUUUGACCUGCGUUUGAAACUGUAUCUCUUGAGGGUGGGAGAGGUAAACGGAAUUCCUGGUGUAGUAGUGAAAUGCGUAGAUAUCAGGAGGAACACCGGUGGCGAAGGCGGUUUACUGGACCAUUACUGACGCUGAGACACGAAAGCGUGGGGAGCAAACAGGAUUAGAUACCCC
rnacentral:rRNA from 1 species